UAUGUGAUCGUCUCUCGCAUAUCAAUAAGCGGAGGAAAAGAAACUAACAAGGAUUCCCCUAGUAACGGCGAGUGAAGCGGGAAGAGCUCAAAUUUGAAAUCUUAAAGGGUUUCCCUUUACGAAUUGUAGUUUAAAGAAGUGUUUUCUGUUGAGGUUUUGGUAAAAGUUCUUUGGAAUAGGACAUCAUAGAGGGUGAGAAUCCCGUAUUUGACCUUUACUUUCAACUUUGUGAUACACUUUCAAAGAGUCGGAUUGUUUGGGAAUGCAGUCCAAAAUGGGUGGUAAAUUUCAUCUAAAGCUAAAUAUUGGCGAGAGACCGAUAGCGAACAAGUACCGUGAGGGAAAGAUGAAAAGAACUUUGAAAAGAGAGUUAAACAGUACGUGAAAUUGUCAAAAGGGAAGCGCUUGACACCAGUGUUGUUUUUCUGAAAAUCAAUUAAAGAACUGUUUAUGCUAAGCUGUUUAGACUUUAUCAGCUAUCUGUUUUAGUUUUGAGCUUUUCUUUAAUGCACUUUUCAGUUAACAAGUCAACAUCAAUUUCUUUUGCUGUAAAAAAGCUUGAGGAAGGUGGCUUGAGAUUCGUCUUAAGUGUUUAUAGCCUCUUGCCUAUGCAGUCGGAGAGAUUGAGGUCUGCAGCGUAGAUCCUUCGGGGCUAAAUGCAUUUGUGCUAAGUUAUAGCAUUUUAUAGACAACUUGUUGACUAUGAUUUGUCUUGUAGCUUACUCGCUUAUGUUAUUUUACCUACGCUUAGGAUGUUGAUCUACAGAGCGAGAGU
rnacentral:rRNA from 1 species